CUGGAAGGGAGCAUCAUAGAGGGUGAGAAUCCCGUCUUUGACACGGACCGCCAGUGCUAUGUGAUGUGCUCUCGACGAGUCGAGUUGUUUGGGAAUGCAGCUCAAAUCGGGUGGUAAAUUCCAUCUAAAGCUAAAUACGGGCGAGAGACCGAUAGCGAACAAGUACCGUGAGGGAAAGAUGAAAAGAACUUUGGAAAGAGAGUUAAACAGUACGUGAAAUUGCUGAAAGGGAAACGCUUGAUGUCAGUCGCAUCGGCCGGGGAUCAGCCUUGCUUCUCGCCGGGCGUAUUUCCCGGUCCCGAUGGGUCAGCAUCAGUUUCGUUUUCGCCGUACAAGGGCAAAGGGAACGUGGCACUCUCCGGAGUGUGUUAUAGCCCUUUCGUCGCAUGCGGUGGUCGAGACUGAGGAUCUCUGCACGUCUUUCCGUCUGUGCUUAGGAUGCUGGCAUAAUGGCCUUAAGCGACCCGUCUUGAAACACGGACCAAGGAGUCUAACAUGCCUGCGAGUGUUCGGGUGGCAAACCCGAGCGCGUAACGAAAGUGAACGGUCGAGACCUCCGUCAUGGAGGGCAUCGACGCCCGGACCUGAGUCUUCGACGACGGAUCUGCGGUAGAGCAUGCAUGUUGGGACCCGAAAGAUGGUGAACUAUGCCUGAACAGGGCGAAGCCAGAGGAAACUCUGGUGGAGGCUCGUAGCGAUUCUGACGUGCAAAUCGAUCGUCGAAUUUGGGUAUAGGG
rnacentral:rRNA from 1 species